UGACUGCUCCAAUGUACAAAUAUCCACUGUAUUAUUGGAGUUAUCUCUUUCUCUCUCUGAGAAAUUCAGAAGCUUUGUGCCCAUUUCUUUUCUUUUUAAAAAAGCUGAAAAUAAUAUCCACUGCUCAGCCAGCCUCAUAUAAUAUAAUAAACAGCAAUAAAGCUGGUUACUCUUUAUAGUUUUUUUUUACCUCCCCCAACAUAAUCAUAGAGCUUCUCCCAAAAUGAGAAUUGAAUUAGUAAAUGCUCAAAGAAGCAAACGAAAACCCAGAAUGAAGUAGAGAGAGAAAGAGAGAUAAUUCCCUGAUCUUUCCCUCUCUUGUUGAUUCUUCUUUUAUGCAAGACAAGUGAGAUAAAUGUCACGAGCAAGCUCAAUUUGGCACUACAUGUGUCCUAGAGUCCCAUCUCUCCAUCCAAAGCAUAGGACUCAAAGGCAUUAAAGUCACUCUGUCCAAUUGAAUAAUAUUGUAGAAUCAAUGACCAUUCUCCUGCUUAUAGUACUAUGCAACUUGAAUUGCAAAUGUUCAAUUAAUUAUCUAGUGCAUUUAACAAAGUGUGAUAACUUUCCAACCAAGUGAGGUGGCUGCAAUUUUGAUGCUCAAAAGGCUAUUUCCCUAUCCUCUGUUUAUUUGGAAGGGUACUUCAGCCAUUCCUUUCAUAUAGCAGGGCAAGGACAAGCAAUUUGGGAUAGAAUACAACCUGAGCCCAUAAGGAAUAUUAAACCCCCCAAUGUUUUUGAUGGGGCUGCCAGUCACCUACCCUCCUCAAAUAGUGAAGAAUAAUAAUAGGUUGCAAAUUACCACUUUCUCCUUGAAUUUAUUUUGUAGAUUAGAAAAUGAGUAAAUUAUAUAAACAUCCUUUAAGAUUUUAUGAAUUUAUUUUUUUUAAUUAUAGUAGUGAUACAAAGUAUUUACGUUAGUGACUAAUGUCCAUAGAAAACUGUGAGUAUACAAAGAUGGAUUUUUUUUUUCUGAUAUAAUUUUAUUCCAUGUUUAAAAUCAAAUUUUAAAUCUUGAAUAACUUAUUAAAAGAUACAAAAUGUUACUAUUUGUGUUUAAACAACCGGUUUAUUCCAGAGAUUUUGUGAUAUUGCAAACAACUAUCUCUUAUUUUUUCUAUUCCUAAAAUAAUUUUUAAUUGUUUAAAAAGUAUUAUACUAACAUCUUUAGAUAUUAUUGAUGCUACUUAAUUACGUAAAAAAAAAUAUUACUAUUCAACUCAGGGCUGUAAACGUUAUAAAAGUUUUAUUUUUUUAAAAAGAAGUAAGAAUGACAGUGCAGUUUCACGAGAUCUCAUUGGAUAUAACUGUAAUUUACUCAAAUAUUAAAUGUCAGCAUCACAGUUGUUUUCUUAGGGGUGGGGGAUAGAAUUUUAACCACAUAUCAAUUCAAGCUGCCUAACAUAUUGUUUCCAUCAAUCAUGGGCACGUGGUGGCCCAACCUAUCAAAAUGACUAGCCUAGACAAACAUUUUGCUCUGUAUACAUACUGUAUGCAGUAUAUUCCAAAAUGGAUGCAUAAAAUUUAGUGUAUGGACAUGCAUUGUGGUUAUGCAAGUACGGGAAAAGAAAGAAACAAAAAUUGCGACACAUCAACUGGGAAAAGCUUUUGGUUAGAAAUUUAAUUAAAUUCCAUACCUUGACUUUAAAUCGAAAUACACAAGUUACAACCGUAAGUACUGUGGUUUCCGAGGCAUUUAUGAUUGUAUCACAGCCACGUUUAUCCAUAAUUAAUUUCACCAUUUUACUAACUACAAUGUUUCCGCGAUCGCUUUCAUGAUUUAUAAUCACGUUGCAUAGUUAAGGUUUAAGUAGACCUAAUUGCAAUUUGGGUUGGUUUAGCAUAACCCACGUUUUGCAUAGGUUGCUAGAUUUUGUGGUGUUGAUUAUCUUUGAUUAAAAUGAGCAGUAUUCAAGUUGCCGCAAUUAAUCAUGGGAUUAAUGUCCCAAAUAUCUCAGUUGAGACACGAAUUCAUUGUAGACCAUGUUUGUUGUCGUUGCGUUUUGACUCUCUCUUUGUGAGUUCUCUAAUUAAGCCUGAGAACUGAACAUUUUUCUCAGCAAUCUCUCUAUGAUUGUUUCGCCGCUGGGCAGGGAAUGAUGGAAAAUAAUGGGCAUAUUUUUGUCAUCAAUGGGUUAGAACUUAAAAAGCUAGCUAGGGACUGCAUCAAGUUUGUGUCUGGUAAAGGACAGGGUGUUCGAUUGAAGUGAACCACAUACAAAUGGAUACGAUUAUACAAUAGUAUCAUUGAGAAGAAGGAAGCUAUCAAGAAUGGAUUGGAGAAAGCAUCCACUUGUUGGUCCACCCUGAUUUCUUUCGACUCUCCUUAGGCGGCAUUACAUUAAAUCAAAUCCACAAGAAUAAUUUUUCUAUGUACCUAUUCAUAUAAACAGUCACUUGGGGCAAAAAGUACAUUCAAUAUCAAUUUUUUUUGGCGUACA